GACGCGCUUGGUUCCUGCCUGGUUCUAUAGAGACAGCGGUGCGGACAGAUACAUUUUGGGCGCUGCGGCAUAUUAAAUAUAUGAUAAAUAGUCAAAAAAAUGUUCUGCGUGAGAAAUACAAUGUAUGGCGGGAGAGCAUGAGAAAAGAUGCAUGACUGUCACUCUCAAUGUGUGACUCUUGAGAGCCCUGUAUUAAGCUUAUCAACUUCUUUAAUAUCACACACAUCAUAUAUGAUACUGUACAUUUAAGUUUACUAUUGAUUCAGUAUAAUACUGUGUUUGCUUAUUUCCUUGUUUGUAAAUGCAUUUGAUUUUUUAAAGCUUAAUAUAACCUUUUCAUGCAGUUUUGUUUGUACAUAUAAAAAGGGUACAGGAUGAAAAAUAAAACUUACAGGAUGGAAUGAAAUGACAGGGUCUGUAAAGUGGUCUUUUCCUGUUCACUUGGUGUCUCUGUUGAGGAGUAACACCAGGAAAACUAGAUUUGAGGUUUGUGUGCCUCAGUUUUUCCUGGUUUAUUGUCAUAUUAACCUUUUUAUCAGAAAUGAUUAUCUUUUACCAUAGAGAUUGAAAAACUGUAUGAAUAACAGAAGGUGGAUCAUCAGCAAGUUCAGGAAGAAGAAAAUCACACAAAUGAAUUCUGCUUGCUAGUGUGAACUGAGUGUGAGACCAAGAGGCUUAACCUGAGAUCACACUAGCAAGCAGAAGUCACUCAUUUCAUGUGUUGUGAAGAAAUAGCAAGGUUCAGAAAUACAAGCUGUCUAUAAAGAUAUAAGUUUUAAGCUCUGCAAAAUGGACGGUACUGAAAACUAUCACUCUCCAACAGACAUAGAGGAUGAUAUUUAUGUGAAUACAGAAGACUGUCGCGCAGAGCUGAAAAAUUCAGAUAUGUCUGACCGCACUGAGCUGAAAGACAAGAAGAAUCCAGGAAAGAUCUUCAGAUAUGCUUUUGGUCUCCUCCUAAUACUUGGUGUUUUAUUACCACUCUGUGUUGUAGGGAUCCUU